GAUGAACGCUGGCGGCGUGCCUAAUACAUGCAAGUCGAGCGAACGGACGAGAAGCUUGCUUCUCUGAUGUUAGCGGCGGACGGGUGAGUAACACGUGGAUAACCUACCUAUAAGACUGGGAUAACUUCGGGAAACCGGAGCUAAUACCGGAUAAUAUUUUGAACCGCAUGGUUCAAAAGUGAAAGACGGUCUUGCUGUCACUUAUAGAUGGAUCCGCGCUGCAUUAGCUAGUUGGUAAGGUAACGGCUUACCAAGGCAACGAUGCAUAGCCGACCUGAGAGGGUGAUCGGCCACACUGGAACUGAAACACGGUCCAGGCUCCUACGGGAGGCAGCAGUAGGGAAUCUUCCGCAAUGGGCGAAAGCCUGACGGAGCAACGCCGCGUGAGUGAUGAAGGUCUUCGGAUCGUAAAACUCUGUUAUUAGGGAAGAACAUAUGUGUAAGUAACUGUGCACAUCUUGACGGUACCUAAUCAGAAAGCCACGGCUAACUACGUG
rnacentral:rRNA from 1 species